UAAAUCCUGGCUCRAGGCCACARUUCUAUAGAAUAUGGGUCCUUAUAUAAUAGUCCUCACCUAUGUUCCCGUCCUAAAGUAUAAGCCUCCUGACAUCAAGUGAUGUCCGUGGGCAACCCAGAAACCAGGGUGCCCUCCGCGGUUUAAUUUUGGUUUGGGAACGRUGUCUUCUCGGGCUCCUCCCCCAGUUGGCAGGGCUCACGGAGGAGCUUCCCUAGACCAGACAACCGGGUCUGAGGAAGGACAGCGCGGUGGGUGGUGGCCUGGUCAGCUGCACAGCCUGGGGCCUGGGCCGGCCCGUUUUCCUGUCCCAACAGUCCUGGAGCGCAGGGCCGGUUCUCCGCGUCCAGCGAGUCCCAGGACAGACUGUGGUCACCCGCGCGGGAUCAGCCCUCGGAACCCCUCUGGUGGGGCGCCCUGCAGGACGGGGGMGGCUGGGGCUUUUCCAGGAAGAGGAAGCGCGACCAGUGCCCGGGGCUUGAGCGCCAAGCGCUGAGGCUGAAAAGUGCCCAGCGGCCCCGCCGCGUCCUCCUCUGCAAAGCGGCGGGUCGCACCUAYUUGGAGACCGGCGCUGGCGCGGGGCGGACUCGCGAUCCGUGUCCGUUUUCUUUGCGGGGAAAACGCCGUCCCGAGCUUCCCGCGCGGGGAAGACGGGURCGGGACUCGGGGACGGGGACCCAGCGCCUGGGCCGGGCUUCCGGGAUUGCUGCGCGCAGCUCGCCCCCUCGCGACGCCGGCGGGAGGCUCCCUCGCUGGGGCCUGCGCGGUGAUGGCCGCACAGGUGGGCGCUCGGCGGAGUCCAGGCCUCCCCCGCACGGCUCUAUGGGCGGCGAGAGGCUGAGGAGUAGCWGGACACCGGGAAGGGACAGACCUACCCCAGGAAGGGGCGGGCCGCCAACUCCCACCUCCGCCCUCGGUGGCCGCGCGCGCGACGCUGGAGCAGAUCSGUCCACGCUGGCACGUGGGGCGCCACCCGCGGCAUCCCGCCCUAGUCCCCCGGUUCCCUGAG
rnacentral:lncRNA from 1 species